AGGAUCUUUACCUUUAUAUAUAUUAAAACUGGAAUGAUACAGAGAAGAUUAGCAUGGCCCCUGCGCAAGGACAACAUGCAAAUUCAUGAAGCGUUCCACAUUUUU
rfam:Octopus bimaculoides Scaffold17278_contig_78, whole genome shotgun sequence.